GACGAACGCUGGCGGCGUGCUUAACACAUGCAAGUCGAACGAUGAAGCCCUUCGGGGUGGAUUAGUGGCGAACGGGUGAGUAACACGUGGGCAAUCUGCCCUUCACUCUGGGACAAGCCCUGGAAACGGGGUCUAAUACCGGAUAUCACUCUCGCAGGCAUCUGUGAGGGUCGAAAGCUCCGGCGGUGAAGGAUGAGCCCGCGGCCUAUCAGCUUGUUGGUGAGGUAAUGGCUCACCAAGGCGACGACGGGUAGCCGGCCUGAGAGGGCGACCGGCCACACUGGGACUGAGACACGGCCCAGACUCCUACGGGAGGCAGCAGUGGGGAAUAUUGCACAAUGGGCGAAAGCCUGAUGCAGCGACGCCGCGUGAGGGAUGACGGCCUUCGGGUUGUAAACCUCUUUCAGCAGGGAAGAAGCGAAAGUGACGGUACCUGCAGAAGAAGCGCCGGCUAACUACGUGCCAGCAGCCGCCGUAACAC
rnacentral:rRNA from 1 species